AUCAGUGGCUAAAUUGGCCAGUGCUCUAUAUUCAGCGAACAAUCCGCGACCAAUAGCCUCUCCCAUUCGAACCUUGUCUCUGUAGUCAUGAGAUUCAUUACUCUAUUAAUUAGGAAUUGAGCUCUCACUAAGAGCAAUAGCUACAAUGGUUUAAAUAUUGAUUGGUUUUACUAAAAAGUAGUUAGUCUAGUUAAAAACAUUUUGUUUGUUAAAAGAGUUGAGUGUUUGUUGUGAGAUUUCAAUCAUCGAUGGGAGAGGCAGAUCUGAGAAACCAAUCCUUGUGUUUACCAAAUGUAAAAGUGUAUUGACGAAAAGUAAAGAGUCAAAUGUAAUUACAGUAUUUAUAUGAAUUAUUAUACUAACUAAUACACACAACUAAUAGUCAUUAGUGUGAAUUUAAUAAUAAGUGUAUUUGUGUAGCAGUUUUGUGAUUCAUAACUAGAGAAAACAUGAAAGUGCCUACUGACGCUUGAAUCCACCCUAAUACAACACAGUUCUUCUCUUUCCAAGUGGUAAAUUCUGGAUUGAUCGAACCGUCGACAUUCUUUUCUGUAGGAGCCGCUUGGGAUCCAUCAAUCACAUUUUGAAGAUGAUGAAUUUCCAAGACAUUUAAAAAUUGUGCCCUUCAAAAUAGAUAUGUAUCUACACGCUCGAGAGGAACGCGUAUCCAAUGUCUAACCUGGAAUCUAUAGAUACUAUCUGAAAGAAAAGGACCAAUACUCAUGGACGAGCUUGAUGUCGACAUCUCAACAGAAAAGAAAACAAAGAGAAGCAAAGAACAAAUAAUAAUCCAACAAAAAAACUAAAAUCACAAAGUACUGAAAAUUAAAUCAACAUUAUAUCAUUGAAAUCAGAAUAUAAUAGCAAUGACUUAUAGAGAAAUUCAUAGAUGAUGGUAUUUCCUGAUUAAUAUUUGAAGAAACUUAUACAAAUUCAUUUAAAUGAAUGAAAAUUAUACAGAGUUCAUUCAGACAAAACAAAUCAAAAUCACAGUUUAGUAUAUAUUUGUAAUUCUACUAAAUCAACUUGAAAUCGGAAAUAAAUAAAAAACAAAUCAAAUCAACUUGAAAUCGAAAACUAACACGUAUCUGAAAAUUGAAAUAAAAAACUGACACUGAAAAUUGAAAUCAAAUUUAACACGUAUCUUAAAAUGAAAUCAAAUCUGACAUGUAAAUUGAAAUCAAAUCUCCAAGACGAAAUGCAGAAAUAAUACAAGAAAAAAAACUAUGCAGAAACAAUGAAAUCACAACGGGAAAACGCAAUCGCAAUCCGCGAAAACGAUGCAGAAAUCAAAUCCGUGAUGAAAUUGAUGAAAUCAAAACGAUGCAGAUAUCCAAAAAAAAAUUCAAGACGGAACUUGCCAAGAAUCCGUGACUCGCGAGACGGAACUCAGAACUCGUGAAUCCAAUCGACGACGCCGCUAUGAAUUAAUCCAAUCGGCAAAUCGACGAUGAACAGGACAGAAUCAGCAAAAGAAAUCCGUAGACGACUCUGAAUGAAAUCGGAAAAAAAAAACAAAUCGGAAGAAAAGAAAAAACGAAAUCAAGAAAUCGAGUUGCUCAAAAGAGGGGAAAAAAACAAGAAUCGAUUUAAGAACGGAAGCAAGAAUCAAGACCUAUACCUGCGAUCGAAGGAUGUGAGAUUUCAAUCCUCGAUGGGAGCCGUAGAUCUGAAAAACCAAUCCUUAUGUUUACCAAAUGUAAAAGUGUAUUGACGAAAAGUAAAGAAAUUUUUUUUGUAGUGGAGUCAAAAUGUAAUUACACUAUUUAUAUGAAUUAUUAUACUAACUAAUACACACAACGUCAUUAGUGUGAACUUAAUAAUAAGUGUAUUUGUGUCUUAACAUUUGUGUUUCUCUUUUAAAUACUCUUCUUAUAUAUUCUUUUGAAGUUAAUGAAAUUAGUCAUUCAUUUGAGUUUCAAUUAUAAUUUUGAUCAACUCUAAUUUGGUAUUAGUUGACUGGUCAACUUAAUUGAUUCUUUUUUUUUUUUUUUUUUUUUUUUUUGAAGAAACUAGAAAGAUAAAGUAAUUUCUUUUAAUUCCAAGAAAUAACCUAUUUUCAAGAAACAUUCCGCACCGUGCUCACCCCAAUAUUCCGCACAUUGCGAUUUGGCGUCGGUGAUUUUGGCUUCUAAUUGCUCGUCGAUUGCUCGCCGAUCGUCCGUUCUGGUCAGGUCGUCUGCUCGCCGAUCGUCCGUUCUGGUCAGGUCGUCUGCUCGCCGAUUCCGUUCUUCUCAAGGCGGUUCUUCUCAAGGCAAUUCCGAUUCUGAUUUGCUAUCUAUUAGAGAGUGUAUGGAGAUAAUCGUAGUGGAUGAAAGUGGAGGAAGAGAAUGAAGAUUGUUUGAAUG
rnacentral:lncRNA from 1 species